GUCUCCGCCAUACAUCUAUCGCGAAAAUCAGUGAAAACGUGUGUGUUUUGUGGGAUUACUUUUUCGUAACAGGAAGUAAAAUCAGCGAUUUUAUAUAGAACGGAAUGCCGCCAAAAACCAAUGCCGAAAGGCAAAAAGCUUACAGAGAACGACUCAAAAUGGAUAAACAUGAUGGAACAAAAAUAAUUUUAUUAAAAUAGUAUGAAUGAUUA